GUAAAUAUGCAUUUCUAUGCAAUUAAUGGUUAACUGAUAAGAGUACAAGCUAGCUGCAAAAUUUCUAUGAUAAAGAUUGUUAAUAAUUUUGUUAAGUAAGUUGUUGUACGUGAUAAUUAUGAAGAUUAAAAAUAAUGUAAUCAUUAUUAUAUUAUCAACUAUGGUGAUAUUUUAUGUAUCCAUAUCGGUAGUUGAUUCUGGAUCGGUUUUUUUGAAAAAAAUAACGGUUAGAGCGAAAAGAGAACUCAUAAAAGAACCAUGUUGCGUCAUGCCGUUAUGUACCAGCAGUUUUCGUUGUUUUCAAACCAUAAGCUGCGGACAUCUCUGCAACAAACAAGAUUUUUUUGAUAAAAUGCCUGAAGAUAUGAAAACUCCUGGGUAUAGAAUAAGAGUAAGUUAUCGAAGAUGGGACUGCCGCUUGGAAAAUUGUUUUGAACUAAACUUUUCAUGCAACGAUUGUCCUGAUCCAGACGACAUCGACUUUAAAAUAAAUUCAGUCUCUACAUUAUGUAAACCUUGUUAUUAUAACUAACUUAUAUAAUUUAUUAUAAUAAAAUUGUAUAAUACAAAAUGGGGGGAUAAACUUAUUUGAAUCACGGAA